GACGAACGCUGGCGGCGUGCUUAACACAUGCAAGUCGAACGCUGAAGCUCAGCUUGCUGGGUGGAUGAGUGGCGAACGGGUGAGUAACACGUGAGUAACCUGCCCUCUUCUUUGGGAUAACGCCCGGAAACGGGUGCUAAUACUGGAUAUUCACUGAUUCUCGCAUGGGGGUUGGUGGAAAGGUUUUUUCUGGUGGGGGAUGGGCUCGCGGCCUAUCAGCUUGUUGGUGGGGUGAUGGCCUACCAAGGCUUUGACGGGUAGCCGGCCUGAGAGGGUGACCGGUCACGUUGGCACUGGGCUACGGCCCAGACUCCUGCGGGAGGCAGCAGUGGGGGAUAUUGCACAAGGGGCGAAAGCCUGAUGCAGCGGCGCCGCGUGAGGGAUGGAGGCCUUCGGGUUGUAAACCUCUUUCGCUCAUGGUCAAGCCGCAGCUUUGGGUUGUGGUGAGGGUAGUGGGUAAAGAAGCGCCGGCUAACUACGUG
rnacentral:rRNA from 1 species